AACCUCUUCCUUCUUAAAUUGCAAACAAGGAAAGCACUCCGACAAGGACAUUUUAAGAAAUUUCAGGAAUCUGUCAACGUGCGAAACUAUUGCAAGGUUGCGUCUGAAGAAAAACUUUAAAAGAAACAUAUAGAACGCUUGUAGGAAAUCAGUUAUUUUCCAUUUUGAAAAUUAAACUGUAUCCGAAAUUAAAUUUGUCAAGAAAAAACAACAAUUUUGGCAAAACACAAUAAAUCGCAGAUUCCUUCUAUGCUCAUUCAUUGAAGAGGAAGACAAAUUUAACCGCGAUGCCCAAGAAAAAAUCAUCAUGGGACGGGCAAGAAAGACUUUGGAGGACAUGUCUGACCUCUUAUCGCUACCUCAAAACGAUAUGUAGAAUUGUGCAAAAUUUCCCUACUUUAAAAACGGCUUCCCAUUACAUCGUUAUGGGUGGCGUUGAUAGCGGUAUGCAAGUACCUCAAUUCAUGCAGUUGGGUUAGGAAGUUAAAGGAUUGCUGCCACAAUACAUAUAAACAUUGCAACAACUUUAAAAUAU